rnacentral:rRNA from 1 species
UAGUCCACGCUGUAAACGAUGAGAACUAGCUGUUGGGUAUUAAUAUUUAGUGGCGCAGUUAACGCGAUAAGUUCUCCGCCUGGGGAGUACGGCCGCAAGGUUAAAACUCAAAUGAAUUGACGGGGGCCCGCACAAGCGGUGGAGCAUGUGGUUUAAUUCGAUGCAACGCGAAGAACCUUACCUACCCUUAACAUCCUGCGAAUCCUGUAGAGAUACGGGAGUGCCUUCGGGAAUGCAGAGACAGGUGCUGCAUGGCUGUCGUCAGCUCGUGUUGUGAAAUGUUGGGUUAAGUCCCGUAACGAGCGCAACCCUUGUCCAUAGUUGCCAGCGGGUAAAGCCGGGAACUUUAAGGAGACUGCCGGUGUUAAACCGGAGGAAGGCGGGGAUGACGUCAAGUCAUCAUGGUCCUUACGCCCAGGGCGACAAACGUGCUACAAUGGCCGGAACAAAGGGAAGCAAGAUCGCGAGGUUGAGCAAAUCCCAAAAAUCCGGUCUCAGUUCGGAUUGGAGGCUGCAAUUCGCCUCC